AAAUAGAUACCCCGGUAGUCCACGCCGUAAACGAUGCUCGCUGGAUGUUGGAAGUAUCGACCCUUUCAGCAUCGAAGCUAACGCGUUAAGCGAGCCGCCUGGGAAGUACGGCCGCAAGGCUAAAACUCAAAGGAAUUGACGGGGGACCCGCACAAGCGGUGGAACAUGUGGUUUAAUUCGACGAUACGCGAAGAACCUUACCAAGAUUUGACAUCCUGCGAAUCCUUAAGAAAUUAAGGAGUGCCCUUGGGAACGCAGUGACAGGUGUUGCAUGGCUGUCGUCAGCUCGUGCCGUGAGGUGUUCGGUUAAGUCCGGUAACGAGCGUAACCCCUAUUCUGAUUUACAUUGUGUAUCAGAAGACUGCCUUGGUUAACAAGGAGGAAGGUGGGGAUGACGUCUAGUCAGCAUGGCCCUUAUGUCUUGGGCGACACACAUGUUACAAUGGCUGGUACAAUGGGUUGCUAAGCUGUAAAGUGGAGCUAAUCCCAUCAAAACCAGUCUAAGUUCGGAUUGAGGGCUGAAACUCGCCCUCAUGAAGUUGG
rnacentral:rRNA from 1 species